CACGAAAAAUAUUUCAAUUAUUAUAUUCAUUACAAUCGCCUUUUACAAUCUAUAAUACCGACCCUUAUAACAAUCAUGAGAUUCCCUAAUCUAAUUUAUUAUGAUACCACAAUAUUGCCAUAAGCAAAACUUAUACUUUUCAUGUGUUUUAGUUAAUGGCCAAAAAGUAUUAGGAUUAGCUUAUACUUUGCAUAAGAUUGCAGUUUUGAAAAUAUUUCCCGCCAAGAGACAGCAUCGUAAACAAGACGAGUGAAUUGAAAACGCAAACUUUUUCCCAGAAACAUCCUUAUAAACUAACUUUAUCAGUUCCAGAUCCCCAUCGAAAUCGGGCUCCCGGUCCGAGUAAGGUUCGAGAAGUCGCUGCCGUUUACGUUUUUCAGUCCAGACACAGCAGAUGCCGCAGUAGCAGCUCAAGAAAACCGCUGCAGCCGAUCCGGUUCCUGGUCAAAAUCUAGCAAUCUCUAAGGAUCGUUAGUUGUUGCGAUUUGGAGGAGCAAGUGGACAGCAUCGAAAGACCCAUGAAAACCGAUCGCCAAGGAUAAAACCUGAAGUGGAAUGCGUUCGAGGAAAAGAAUCCGCAAGCACCAGGAGGCGGUUGCGACUUCUAAACGAUCUCAUGUUGGCGCACAAAACCGGAACUCGUCUCAAAUGAAAUCCCGAGCGGAGCGACAUCGACUCGAUCAAGGAUAACGUCGCUGGUAGCUCGGCUGGGUCAACAAUGAGUCGUUGGAAUAGGUACCGUACCUAAAGCCUGCCGUAACCAAAUACAUUCGCUGAAUCUCGAUCCGAAGAGUUAUCUCGAUGUUAUUCAAUUCAGUGGUUUAAAUGAUGAAUAAAUUAAUUACAAAAAUAUAUGUGUUUGUUCUUGAUUAUACUAACUGAAGGAAGAAAAAGAAGGAGGGACAUUCAAAACCUAAAUAUGUAAUAGGUUUUAUUAGUUGCAACACAUUCAUAAUAUUAAAACUCUAAUAACAAUCAUUAGCGGUACUGAUUGUCUGUAUUAGGUUUACCUUAUACUUUUUAUUUCUGGUAUCUUAUAUAAUUCAUUACAUUCAUUCAUAUGGUUCAUUAGGUAAACGAAAUGGCAAAAAUUUAUAACAUUUUCUUAUAAAUUCUAUAAUGAUUUUUCUUUUCGU